AUUGAACGCUGGCGGCAGGCCUAACACAUGCCAGUCGAACGGUAACAGGAAGCAGCUUGCUGCUUUGCUGACGAGUGGCGGACGGGUGAGUAAUGUCCGGGAAACUGCCCGAUGGAGGGGGAUAACUACUGGAAACGGUAGCUAAUACCGCAUAACGUCGCAAGACCAAAGAGGGGGACCUUAGGGCCUCUUGCCAUCGGAUGUGCCCAGAUGGGAUUAGCUAGUAGGUGGGGUAACGGCUCACCUAGGCGACGAUCCCUAGCUGGUCUGAGAGGAUGACCAUCCACACUGGAACUGAGACACGGUCCAGACUCCUACGGGAGGCAGCAGUGGGGAAUAUUGCACAAUGGGCGCAAGCCUGAUGCAGCCAUGCCGCGUGUAUGAAGAAGGCCUUCGGGUUGUAAAGUACUUUCAGCGGGGAGGAAGGGAGUAAAGUUAAUACCUUUGCUCAUUGACGUUACCCGCAGAAGAAGCACCGGCUAACUCCGUG
rnacentral:rRNA from 1 species